GAGAGGCGCGCUGCGCCGGCUGUCUUGCUCGCAGUAUAGUGGCGGCAGGCCGCCUGCUUGCAGCUCGGGAAAUUGCAGGGCCCUGUUGCUCGCAGUGUAGGGGUAGCACGUCCGACUGCUGGCAGCUGGGGACACUGCCUGGCCCUCUUGCUCCAAAUGUAUUGGCGGGUGGCUCCCCUGCUGGCAGCUACGGACAGUGCUGGGUCGUCUUGCUUGCAGUGUAGUCGCGGCACGCCCCCUUCUGGCCGCUGGGGUCACUACAGGAUCCUCUUGCUCAUGAUGUGGUGCCCCUACGCCACCUCCUGGCAGCUAAGGACACUGCAGGGCCCUCUUGCUCCCGGUGUGACGGCUGGCGUCCCCUACUGGCCACCUCCCGAACAAACUCGGGGCGCCAGUUAUUAAGCCCCAUCAGUUCUGUAAAUUCAAACUGAAACGGAGCUAUUACUGGGGAGACCUGAUGUCCCAAUUCUUAACUUGGAGGAAAGAUUUUCACUUUCCUCCAAGAAACACUCUCUAAGAACACAGCACUCAGAAAAGCCAGCCUGAUACCUAGAUUACACGGUUCACAGCCUUACAGUAAGAAGAAACUAAGUCUUAGCGAUAACCAAGUGGCAGACGUGGCAGAAGAAAAAUUUGAAACCAGGGCCACAUUGAGCCUGCAGGCAUGUCUGGCCUGUUCUGAGGACAGACAUUUCAAGCACAGAGAGGCACAGGAGCACUGUUUGAGCCUGGAGCUUAAAUCGCGAAUCCAGAGAGCCCUCUCUGAGCAUGCGUUGUGCCCAGAGUUGGUUUCAUGUGGAUCAACUCAGGCUUCUAUGGCAGGGCCACAGACAGGGUAAGGACUGGGGCUUCCUUAUUCCUGUGCCUCCCAGUGGGCAAGGAGAAAGGGCCCAAUGCCUCCCUCCACUCUACCCCUGAUGCAGGAUCCUGGGAGGGCUGGGGGCCCAGGCUGGGAGGGGGUCUUGAUCUGGGACCGUCCUGCACAUCCUGGCCCCUGGGUUCUGGAGGCAGGCAGAGGCAGCUUCAGGAGUGCUCCAGUUUGGUCUCUUCGACUCAUUCUUACCCUAGCCCUGCACCUUCCCUCAGCCACGGUCUGGCGACCUGGGGCUUCUCAGAGGCAAGGGCACAGACCUGGAGGGUCUCUUUACAGAGAUAGCAGUCACCUGCCUCUCAGACUCUUGCAAGGAUUAAAAGGAGCAGUCUCAGAAAUUCCUGGCACGUGGUGGAAACUUGGCAGACUUGUCACCUCCUAGCAGGUCACAUAGGAAGACUUGAGGGCACGAGCUGGUGACACAUCUGUUCUCGCCUCCCCAGCCCACCCACCAGCGAGAACUCACCCUCGGCUAACUCCAGUCUUUGCACUGCUUUUCAGGGCUAUUGUCUGGCUCGUCUUCAGCAGAUGGAGCACAGCUGGUCUCCUGCACACGUGGCUGCUGAUCUUGCCAGUGUGAGAGACAACUUUCAAUUAUCAUAAGCAUCUGCAUCUGCCCAAAUUCAACCUCAGUGAUCUGUCUCAGUAGUGUUUUAAACAGAAUUUAGGACUGAGCCCACUACUCCAAAGGCAGCUGUCCCACUGCCUCUGGGGUGUGACUCCCUCUCCCAUUUUUUAUGUAUCUGUGCACCGAGCCCUUCUCGCUUCUCACCCUCUGAGACGCCUGUUGUUGAAGGGAAGCUCUGAGCCUGGUGGGCUCUCUGCUGCCUCAGAGGAGCAAAAAGUCUGUGGUCUCCUGGUUCCAAAGUGUGGGGGGUGCUGGAGAGGCAGGUGCCGCUGAGAUGCUGAUCAGUACCCAGUGAGGAAACAUACGGCCUCCUGAGAGAUGCGGCUGAGCCCAGUGGUGCCUCUUGCCCACGACACCCUGUUUUCUGUCUCGUGCACCACUCAGUUUGGACUAUUAAACAUGACAGUGGAUAGGAGCUGGGGGACUUUUAAUCCAAGCACAUGCUUCUCUGUGUGGGUGCUUCCUCUCAAUCCUCCUGGUGUGGAAGUUCUCCCUGGUGUCUUGCCCCAGAACUUCCUGCUGCAGUGAGAGUCUGCAUGUCACAGUUGUGUCUCUUUAGGGAGCCAUCUGCCCUCACCUGUUGGAUUACUCAGAACCUUCACAUGCUCCUUCAUCCCAUUUGUGUCUCACAAACAGGGGUCUGGGCUGGCAGUCUAUUUUGUCACCUGUUCCCUCCUCACCAGGCUCCUGGUCUCUCCUGUCUCCAUUUGGCUGCCCUGGUCUAGACUCAGUGUGCUAAUCACCAUUUGUCUAAUUAGUACUGUGGGACCAUCACAGGAUAAAUGGCACAGCACUCACCAUUGCAGACUUGUGCCCAGGCCCCCAGACACCUGAGUUGGGUGUCCUUUACUGCCUUACAUAGAAGCCUGGGCUCCGAGGUUCAGGGACCUCCCAAGGACCUAGGUGUCACUACAUGUGCUGCUGCUGACUGAAAGUGCUGACGGAGUUCAUAAGCUAGUCAGGGGCCGCAGCUUUAAGGCUGGGUUCUGGUCACAGGCUGCCUUCCAGGUACCCAGGAGGAAGCUGGGGGCUUGUGUGUGCUGAGGAAGGGACCUGAGGCAGAGGAGAGGGGUUGCCUUGACAGUGCUGUGGCACACAUGGCGGAGUCCGAGGCAGAUCUUAUGGAUGUUGCAUUUAUUGCAAAAUUCUACAAUAAAGACUUUUAAAAAGUUCUUUUAAGUAUAUGAAGCACAUUAUUCCAUUCUCAAGCUGGAAGUCAAAGUGGAUCCAAAGAAUGACUCCCGUAUUCUUAAUACAUGACUAGCCACAUGGAGUGACAUUCCAAGCCAGAACCGGAAAACUACUCCCCCAAUGGCAACGGAAUGUCUUUGUGAAGAAUCAAGUAUUUCAGACUCGAGUGUUACAAGCAUUUUCAGAGUGUGUCUCAAACAAGGACACUGGGGAUGGGCCUCGGACAGUGCAAGAGGGAACUGUUGCCAGGCCUGGGAGGAGCCACUCAUGAACACAGGGAGGGUGUGUGUGUGUGGAGCGGGGCAGUAGACUCAGAGUUCUCACUGGUAGCAUAUUUCAUGGCACAGCUGGGCAUAGAAAUCAUAAUUUCUGGGCACAGAAAUAAAGAAUUUGUAUUAUUUUCUUCUCUCUUUUCUCUAAUUCUCACAUUUUUUCUUCUCCCCUCUCCUUUCGUUUUUUUCAAACUUUCUCCUCCUUCUUCUCUUUAUUUCUCAUCUUUAUUCUCUGUCUCUCCCAUAUUCUUUUUUAAAUCUCUCUUCUCUCCCUUUUCUCUCACCAUGUAAAGAAAGAGAUGCUGAGAACAGUGACUCAUGCCUAUAAUCCCAACCAUUUAGGAGGCUGCUGUCAGAGAAUUGCUGGAUCCCAGAAGUUGGAGACCAGCUUGGGCAACAAAGCAAGACCUUAUCUUUACACAAAAUAAUUUUUAAAAGUUAGCUGGGCAUGGUGGUGCACAGCUGUAAUCCCAGCUACUCAGGAUGCUGAGGCAGGAGGAUUGCUUGAACCCAAGAGUUCAAGGCUACAAUGAGCUAUAAUCAUGGCACCACAUUCCAGCCUGUGUGAAAGAGAGAGGCCGUGUCUCAAAAAAUAAAUAAAAUAAAAAACAGAGGGGAUCUUGCUGCUGUGUGUGUUUUUCUAUCACUGAAUGCUACACCUGUGUUGGAGGCUAGCAAGAGGAGCUGAGAAUGUCUGAAAUGCUUCAAAUAAAAGAGAAGAUUAGGAAGAAAAAGUCAAGAGCUUUGUUCUACGGAGACCUUAUUGGAUCUUCCAAGAUGGCAAAUUAUUUCGCUGUGAAUGAUAACUGAUUGUGUCUGAAGAAGUGAAGGAGAG
rnacentral:lncRNA from 1 species